AGAGCCACGUGACCCCGUCCGGGCCAGGGUCCCCUGGGCCUGCACCCCUGUGCUUCCCGUCCAGCCCCGGGGGGGAAGCUGCUUGCCUGUUCCAUCAGCUGGAGUCAUUUGGAGCCCGCCAGGUUCUCCUUCCCGUACAGUGCUGCGGGGCCAUUACCUCCGGAUUCUACGGUUUGCGAUGGCAAAAGCCACAUCCUGCUUCCUGAUGGGAUCCAUUAGGCUGGAGGGAGGGACAGACUCCCAGAGAGACAGACUUGUCUGCUGGAGGAGAGCUGUGCUCUGCUCCAGAGCUCUGUGGAAGAGGAAGCAGCCUGUGUCUGUUCCAACUGAAAGAAUGCCCACACAGCCGAGCCAGCAAGAGCAAUGAAUUCACGGUCCAGGAAAUAGAUGAACGAAACCAACCCAGGUUACUAUCUGUCUGCAAAGCUGAGAUAAAAUUAGAGCAAAUAUGUCUGGUUCCAUCCACAUCGAGGCCAAGAAGUAAACUGAACGUGCUUCUGGGGUUGCAAACACUGGCUAAGUUUCUUCAAAUAUAUGAUCCCGCUGCUUUUGUUUUGGUUUGCCUAGUUCCCUCUUAGAAGACUCACGAGGAAGAUAUUCUGCAUUGGAAGAGGAGAAAACUUUUUUCUUAAAGCGCUGAGAGGCCCGUGAGGCCCGUGAGGAUGAGGGGACGGCCUAGAAACCCCUUUAUGGUUUCAGCGCGGGGUUUCCGGGGACACACAGGGCAUGGGUUGUCGUCUUUGUUUCCCCGGGCAGAGCUUCCGACCCUGUUGGGGACAAUGGUGACAAGCUGGGGCUCUGGAGCAGAGGAGGCAGCUGGUGUCGGGACAUGGAUUCUGUUCCCUCCUCUGUCUCUGAUGAGUGCUGGGACCUUGCACAAGCCAUCACUCAGCCUCCGUGUCCUCGCUACAGAUGAAGGGAGUCAAAUAAAAUAACGUCCUAAAGUCCCUCA